rnacentral:rRNA from 1 species
CAGGGCUUGACAUCCCGGUGACCGCUCUAGAGAUAGAGUUUUCUCUUCGGAGACACUGGUGACAGGUGGUGCAUGGUUGUCGUCAGCUCGUGUCGUGAGAUGUUGGGUUAAGUCCCGCAACGAGCGCAACCCUUAUUGUUAGUUGCUACGCAAGAGCACUCUAGCGAGACUGCCGUUGACAAAACGGAGGAAGGUGGGGACGACGUCAAAUCAUCAUGCCCCUUAUGUCCUGGGCCACACACGUACUACAAUGGUGGUCAACAGAGGGAAGCAAUACCGCGAGGUGGAGCAAAUCCCUAAAAGCCAUCCCAGUUCGGAUCGCAGGCUGCAACCCGCCUGCGUGAAGUUGGAAUCGCUAGCAAUCGCGGAUCAGCAUGCCGCGGUGAAUACGUUCCC